rnacentral:lncRNA from 1 species
AACUUAACUUAAAAUCCUAAAAUGAAAACCUAUCGUAAAUAACAAACCGCAUGAUGGGAUCCUUGCACAUGUUGGAAUCCCUCGUAAAGGUUACAGCUUCCUUCACUGGAGGGAAUGAUAUUACCACAUAACUCUGUGACCUAAAGCAGCUUACAAACCAACCUCAAAUUCAUAUUGCAAACUUUGCUUCCAAAACCCAUUAAGGAGGACUGAAACCAACACCACCAUCAAAAGCAUUACAAAUUAAUA